UACGUAGGGCGCAAGCGUUGUCCGGAAUUAUUGGGCGUAAAGAGCUCGUAGGCGGUGUGUCGCGUCGGAUGUGAAAGCCCGGGGCUUAACCCCGGGUCUGCAUUCGAUACGGGCAGACUGGAGUGUGGUAGGGGAGACUGGAAUUCCUGGUGUAGCGGUGAAAUGCGCAGAUAUCAGGAGGAACACCGGUGGCGAAGGCGGUUCUCUGGGCAUUACCUGACGCUGAGGAGCGAAAGUGUGGGGAGCGAACAGG
rnacentral:rRNA from 1 species